UCGGGAAUAUUGCGCAAUGGAGGAAACUCUGACGCAGUGACGCCGCGUGCAGGAAGAAGGUUUUAGGAUUGUAAACUGCUUUAGACAGGGAAGAAAAAAAUGACAGUACCUGUAGAAUAAGCUCCGGCUAACUACGUGCCAGCAGCCGCGGUAAUACGUAGGGAGCGAGCGUUAUCCGGAAUUAUUGGGUGUAAAGGGUGCGUAGACGGGAAUGUAAGUUAGUUGUGAAAUCCCCGGGCUCAACCUGGGAACUGCUUUUGAAACGGUCAUGCUUGAAUCAUGGAGAGGGUAGCGGAAUUCCGAGUGUAGAGGUGAAAUUCGUAGAUAUUCGGAAGAACACCGGUGGCGAAGGCGGCUACCUGGCCAUGUAUUGACGCUCAGGUGCGAAAGCGUGGGGAGCAAACA
rnacentral:rRNA from 1 species